rnacentral:rRNA from 1 species
GCCUAACACAUGCAAGUCAACUUGACUGAAGGAGCAAUCUGACAGUAGAGUGGCGCAAGGGUGCGUAACGCGUAAGUAACUUGCCCCAAGGUAAGGAAUAACGUCGAGAAAUCGGCGCUAAUACCUCAUAAUGCAGCGGAUCCGCAUGGAUAUGUUGUUAAAGGUUUACCGCCUUGGGAUAGGCUUGCGUCUGAUUAGCUAGUUGGUGUGGUAACGGCACACCAAGGCUACGAUCAGUAACUGGUCUGAGAGGAUGAUCAGUCACACUGGAACUGAGACACGGUCCAGACUCCUACGGGAGGCAGCAGUGAGGAAUAUUGGGCAAUGCUCGAAAGAGUGACCCAGCAACGCCGCGUGGAGGAUGAAGGUAUUCUAUAUCGUAAACUCCUGUGAGAGCAGACGAAAGACAGAUUAUUAAUCUGGAUGACUGUAUGCUCAGAGGAAGCCCCGGCUAACUACGUG